CCUAGUUUCAUCACAUAAAUCGUUGAUUGUUGAUGAAUGAAUCUGUAUAGAUGAUGAGGGUGAUGGUGUAAUUGUUGAUGUCCGAAGGAGAACAAGUAGGAGUUUUAGGUUCAUUGUGUGUGGUGAUAAAUCAGGGAGAGAGUUAGGGUUAGGGUUUAUUCUUGAGGUGAAGAAAUCAUGAUAAGAUGAUGGAUCUGUUGAGAACGCAGGUGAUUCAUGGCGGUGCUGUUAAAUCAAGUGUGGAUUCAAGUUGGCAGAAAUGGUACCAGGGAUUUCUGUGUUCAGGAUUCCAAAAGAAACAAUUGAAGAUGGUGAUGGAGUUCGAUUGAUUAUAUUGUUACCUAUGAGAGAGGAGUGAACAUGUAUGAAGAUCUGCAGAUAGCUAGGAUUGGUAUUUUGUAUGUAGAAGAAGAAGGAGCUGAAGAAAAAAUAUGUGCAACUAAGGAUCCAACAUAAGAAGAGGGGAGUUAGUAAGAAGCUAAUGUUGCAUGCCAUCUCUUUUGAUGAUUUAAUGUGUUGUUUGCUGUGAUGAUGGAAGGAGGUAUAGAUGAAAUGGGUGCUUUUUUGAGCAUUUGCAGCUGAGUUAGGUGGUGAACUGAAAUUGCAGGAAGGAUGGAAGGAGGUAGCUGAAAUGGGUGCUUGGUUCUGGUGAUGCAGUUUGAGGUCAUAAGGAAGGAUUGCUAGGUCAAAGAGUAGUGCUGUUGUAUUAUAUGAUAACAAAAUGAGUUGCAGAAUGGUGGCUGUUUGGCUGUGAAUUGCCGGGAAUAGCAGAAUGAGUUGCAGGUGGGAUUGCAACUAGAUGAACGUUGCAGGGAAGUGAUUGAAGCUGCAGAAUGGUGCUCUAAAUGGCAGUUGCAGUUGAAGCUGAAUGGAAGCUGCAGAUGUGAAGAAGUGGGAGAGUAGUUCAUGGGGGAAAGUAUGAAAUUGUGGAGUUUCUACUGUGAGAUGGAUGGAGGAUAUGAAGGAUAAGGAAAUGGUGGUUCUACUGAGAAUGGUCUAGAAGCAGGCAUUGCCUUCCCCACAGGUUUCUUUCUAAAUUGAAGUUCUUAUUGCAUUCUUGAAUGCCACUCAAUGUGCAACUGACUGGUCGAAAGCUUGGCACACAUGGUCGACCCCAGUUGCAGAUUCUUGGGGAUUUGCAAGAUUUGUAAAUGUUAGAGAUGGUAAAGGAGCAACUCCAUUGCAUUUAGCGGAUCGUCAAAGAUGACAUGAAUGUUAGAAUCUUUUGGUAUUAUUAGUAACAUGGAUGUUUCAGUUGAUACAGUUGAGCUUCUUCUGAAUCAGUACAAAGCCAACAUGAGUAGCAUUUAUUUUUAUAUGCAUGAUUGUUUCUCCUUUUUCCCCUAUAAACAAGGGGAUCACUAAGUCUGCUACCUUCUAUUUUGUCUUUGCAUCCUAAUUUGAUCUUCAACAAGGUGAAAACUCCACUCCAGGCAUCCAUUCAUUGCGGAUCUUGGGAAAUAGUGGAGCAUUUACUCAAGGUGCUGAUCCAAAUGGUGGACCAGAUGGAUUAAAAGCUCUGUUAUUUGCAGCAGAAUAUUUAUAGACUAAAGCCAGUAGAAGAAGCAACUAUUCGUGGGGAUCGUCAAGGUGUUAAGAUUCUUUUUUUCUGUGACAUAUCCUAGUCCAUCAUAUGCCAACUGGAUCAUUGAUGGAGUAAUGAAGCAUGUAAAGUCUGAAAAGUUCACAGAAAAGACUAGGUGUGAUGAAGUUGCAAAAGCCCUGAUAGCGCAAGGUCUGCACGUUGUUGCUCUUCAUGGUGGUCGUAGCCAAAGUGAAAGAGAAGCAGCUCUUCGCAAUUUUCGAAAUAGCUCAGCUAAUAUUCUGGUCGCCACAGAUGUUGCAUCUCGUGGUUUAGAUGUCACUAGAGUUGCUCAUGUGAUCAACCUUGAUCUUCCCAAGAAAAUGGAGGAUUAUGUGCACCAGAAUCUUGAACUUCUGCACUAUGUAUUAUCAUGUUAGUAUCAUGUUUCAGACUAGGCGUGAUGAAGUUGCAGAAGCCCUGAUAGCGCAAGGUCUGCACGUUGUUGCUCUUCAUGGUGGUCGUAGCCAAAGUGAAAGAGAAACAGCUCUUCGCAAUUUUCGAAAUAGCUCAGCUAAUAUUCUGGUCGCCACAGAUGUUGCAUCUCGUGGUUUAGAUGUCACUAGAGUUGCUCCUGUGAUCAACCUUGAUCUUCCCAAGAAAAUGGAGGAUUAUGUGCACCAGAAUCUUGAACUUCUGCACUAUGUAUUAUUCAAUUUAUACAAGAGAGUGAAAUGAUGACAACUAUUGAUGACUAAAUCAUGGACUUAGUCUUUAUUACAAAAACAUUGUGAAAUAGCUGAACAAGGAGCCACAGCAGCAACAUCAAAUUCCUGCAGCGCAAAAACAACAGCAGAUUCUAAUACCACAACAACGACAUCUCCAGUUGCAAUUGCAACCUCAGCAAUUUCCACUACAGAUACAUUCAUGGAGCCAAAUUAGUUACCACAAGCAGUAUGGGUUUGCAAUUCUGAACUUAAAGCCAGGAAUUAUGGAGAACUUGAUGAAGAAUGCUUGGCAACUAGUGUUUGGAAGUAUCUGCAAGUUUUGAGUAAGUUUCUAUAUAAUAUUUACGGUAAACUUAUAGCGAUUUAAGUGAUAUGAACUGAAAUUGGGAAAUUUCUAUGUAUUCUGUUUGGUACUUAAAGAAUUUAUAUUCUUUUUUUAUAUGAAU